GUGUACUGCAUUAAAAAGCUUAUUUGUACUUCCUAAAAUUCUUAAAAAGAGUUAAAAAUGUAGAAGUGUUUAUUAUUAUGUCCUUCAUGAUCUGGACUCUGGAAGAAGGGGCAAUCCACUAUGAGCUGUUGGUUUUUGAUUCAUUACUGGUAAAUCCUUGUCUUGUACACAGUUGUGAGUUGCUCUUCCAUACUUGUCACUAGACCUGUCAAACGGGUCGGUCGGGUCGGGUUGUAAAAAAUUAUUUUCGGGUUCGGGUUGAAUUGGAUCAGUCACUUUCGGGUUCGGGUUUACAAAUGCUUGUUCAAGACCUAGAACUUUCGGGUUCGGGUCGAUCCAACGGGUUGAGAGAUUUUAAAACGCGCAUUAUAUUUUCAUUAAUUCAGGUGAUAAAUAUACAAAAUAUGGACACAUGUUAACAAAUUUUCCUACUCAAUGUCAAAUUCAACCAUAAAAUGGUGUAUAAUUCAAAUUAAAAUCAUAUUACACACAACAAUAGUAAAAACAACGUGCUUAUUAUGCUUAAAUUUUCGCAUAAUCUCAUUUAUUACAAUAAAUACAAUGAUUUUUAAUCGGUCGGGUCCAAAACGGGUUCGGUCGGGUUUUGACCCAUUACUUUUUGGGUUGCUCGGGUUCGGAUAAAAUCGGGUUACGGGUCACAAAAUCUUGUUCAGGACCCAGUAUUUUCGGGUCGGGUUCGGGUCGGUUUUCGGGUCAGGUCGAUUUUUGACAGGUCUACUUGUCACCCUUUCGUCCACUUAUUGAACCUUUUGGCAAAAAACUAGGUGAAAUUUAAAGUUUGGCACGUAACUGACAGUACGUUCCCAAUCUACAUCGGUAAUAUCUCUGGCUUUUAGAACUAUUCAGCAAAGGAACAUUUCACAAAAUCUAGUAGAAAAUUAGCUUUCAUGUAGGCUUAUGCGUUGUGGUUCUUGUGGAGUCUAUAUUUUGUAUAUUAAGCAUAGGAUGGAAAUUUUAGUUAGAAAUGUAGUGGCCAUUGGAUUUUUCUGGUUGAUGGGAAAGUGUUAGCCUUUCUUUUGUGGAUGUUAGAUCAUGUUGAUCUUUUUAAUGACUAGCAUGUUUUAUUUUAUCAGCUUACUUGACUAGCAUGGUUGCCAAGCUUUGCAAGUUUAUUAGUCUCUGCUUUUGAUAUGAUUAAAGUGUAGGAUUCUUCCUCGCAGUGGAGUAGAAGAAUUGCAACUCUACCUCGUGGUAUGUUCAUCAUCUUCAAAACAAGUAUUCGCUGAGUUCUUUCAAUCUGCUUGAUCAUACUGCACCAGUACAGGCCGGAUCCCUGCUUAUAUUGGGUCCAUUCAUUGAUUAUUGGUUAACGAACAACAAAAUUGAUGCGUUCAACUAUACUUUACCAUCUGUGGUAAGAAUAUUAAUUAUGAAUGGUUUUAGCAUUAAAUUAAAUUUAAUAUUAAUUAUGAAUGGUUUUAGCAUUAAAUUAAAUUUAAUAAAAUCGGUCCAAAACUGAAUUGAAUGGCUUAUCUCCUGAAUUUGACCCUAAGUGAGUUUACCUGAAUGAUCUGUUUGCUACCUCUUAUAUUUAAUACCUAACCUAUGAAUUUGGUUAGUUGCAAAUGCGAGUAUUUGUGUUCUCAGGUUGAUGGGAAAUCAGCUUAAUAAUUAUAUGUCACUCAAAGGUCUAACCAUUUAUCCCCCUUUUCCCCACUCACAGUGGAACAAUUACAUGAGAUGAACUUCCAGGGAUUUUAAAAGAUAUAUACGGAGUACUUCAUAUAUGAUGUGAGAUUUAGAUUUCAAGUAGAUCUUAAAUCGCCCUGUGAUUAGAUUUUUACGCAAUUUUUGCUUUUAUAGUUUGAUUAUAUCACAUAUUUACAUGAUUUUAUUGUGAACUACAUUGUUAGAUUUUUGAGAACAGAUCAAUUGAUAGUUGUCGUAAUUUAUAAAAUACUAGUUAUUCUUUUA